rnacentral:rRNA from 1 species
GACGAACGCUGGCGGCGUGCUUAACACAUGCAAGUCGAACGGAAAGGCCCCUUUGGGGGUACUCGAGUGGCGAACGGGUGAGUAACACGUGAGUAACCUGCCCUUGACUUCGGGAUAACUUCAGGAAACUGGGGCUAAUACCGGCUAGGAAUCCUUGCUGCAUGGUGGGGGUUGGAAAGCUUCGGCGGUUUUGGAUGGACUCGCGGCUUAUCAGCUUGUUGGUGGGGUAGUGGCUUACCAAGGCUUUGACGGGUAGCCGGCCUGAGAGGGCGACCGGCCACAAUGGGACUGAGAUACGGCCCAGACUCCUACGGGAGGCAGCAGGGGGGGAUAUUGCACAAUGGGCGGAAGCCUGAUGCAGCAACGCCGCGUGCGGGAUGACGGCCUUCGGGUUGGAAACCGCUUUCAGCAGGGGCGAAGCUUGUGGUGACGGUACCUGCAGAAGAAGCACCGGCUAACUACGUG